AGGAGAGAGGGCUAGCGCAAAUUGUGGCACCGGCAACUCGCUGAGGCACUUCCUGUUGCAGGUUGCGGUGCCGCGGCGAAUCGUGGCAGCUGCCUCGAGUUUACGGCAACUGCCUCGCCUGUUGCCUCGGCUGAGUGAGGUACCUCGAGCGGUACCACGAAUUCAGGGACCGGUUCAUCGGUCGAGAGAGGUACCUCCAGCGGUACCUCGAGUUAAGGGAGUCUUGCCACGACCUAACGGAGGCAUGCAACGACAAAAGGGAGCGGUGCAUCGGCUGAUAGAGCUUCCUGUUUGACGUGAGCUGACAGCUGUCUGGUGCGCUCUCCCUCGGCCUGGACCUCGUUCUCUGCUCACUGGGCUUCACCGUUGCCGGCCAAACGCCCGUAUUCUUCUGUUUGUGUUUGUGUUCAUUAAAACACUUUACGUUCCCUUGCGUUUGGGUGGUCGCUUCUUCACAAGCACAACAGAUAUAGUCAAAAGGAAAUAAAUAUAAUUUAAAAAAUUUCAUUUUUCCUUUUACGGAACAUCCAUCAUGAAGGUACUGUCUGUUGCCUGAUCAUGAAACAAUAUAGAAUAAGGUUAAUACUUUAAUCCAGCAGCUUUUGUGCAAUCACUGGAUAUCUAAAAACAGUCAUGCACACAAUCUAGCUCAGGCAAAUUCUUUUGUCAACAAUUGUAGUCAACAUUAAUUUAAAUGAAAAUACUGGUAACUCCUAUUAUAUACCGACAUUCAAUUUUAGACACGUCUUGAUGGCACCCACCCAGUGUUAUUGUUUGUUCAUAUAAAUCACAUACCCAUUGAUUAGUUCUCAAAGUAGAGAUUGUAACCAGGGCGGCAAGUGAUCUUAGUCCAUAUUCGCUUAGCUGCACUAAAAUGGGAAGCCGUUGUAUCACUUACUGGCUUUUUAUUACUAAAACAAUAGAUAGAUAGAUAGAUACUUUAUUGAUCCCUCAAGAGGGAAAUGUUGGUAUCACAGCAGCAUGUACAGGGAAGAAAAUAGAAUAUAAAGAUAAAAAUAAUGUCACAUUAUAUACAAUAUAAUAAGAUAGAAAUAUUCAAUUAUUAAUUUAAAUAAACUCAAACAAAAGAAUAACCUUCCAAAAGAGACAAUAAUAAUAAUUUGUAAAAGAGGAAGAGGAAAGAGCAGCAACAUCACAGCAGUACAGGGUUAUUAUUGUCAUUAUUUAGCAUGGGAUGAUUUAUUGUGUUAUUGCACUGGGCAGGAAUAAUAAUAAUAGUUAAUAAUAGUUCAUAGUUAAUAAUAACUGUGAUGUUACUAGAUGUUACUGGUUACUGUUAAGGUAAAGAACUCCAUCACCCAGCAUUCCCUAGUCAGUGCUGAGGGACAUGCGCAGUGCGGAGCGCGACAGACCCCGGGUAGCAUUACAGCGGACUGUGCUAGUUGACAUUAAAAGUUCAUGAAACGUAUUUCACGCCUCGCCUGCUUCUUAUAAGAUUAAGCAAGGUACAACAAUAACUACCAACACUAGUACUUUUAAAGGCAGUAUUGUAUUAUCACAUAUUGGCAAAUUAUAAAACAAACAUAUAACAUAUUUGGGAAAUAAAACGGCAGCUGUCUGGCGCAAAGUCGAGGCAGCUGUCGUAAAAACGGCAACCGUCGAGGCACCACUGCGGCAAAGUCGCGGCAGCUGUCGUGAAGCCGCGUCAAUUGCCUCGAAGUCGUGGCAAGUGUCUCGACUUCGUGGCAACUGCCUCGUGAAAUCGUGGCAAGUGUCUCGAAGUCGUGGCAAGUGUCUCGACUUCGUGGCAACUGCCUCGUGAAAUCGUGCCAAGUGUCUCGACUUCGUGGCAAGUGCCUCGAAUUCGUGGCAACUGCCUCGUGAAAUCGUGGCAAGUGCCGCA
ensembl:lncRNA